CAGUAGCCACGGGAAUACAGAGGGUGCGAGCGUUAAUCGGAUUUACUGGGCGUAAAGCGUGCGUAGGCGGCUUCUUAAGUCGGAUGUGAAAUCCCUGAGCUUAACUUAGGAAUUGCAUUCGAUACUGGGAAGCUAGAGUAUGGGAGAGGAUGGUAGAAUUCCAGGUGUAGCGGUGAAAUGCGUAGAGAUCUGGAGGAAUACCGAUGGCGAAGGCAGCCAUCUGGCCUAAUACUGACGCUGAGGUACGAAAGCACGGGGAGCAAACAGGAUUAGAUACCCGGGUAGUCCCUGUCUCUUAUAA
rnacentral:rRNA from 1 species